rnacentral:rRNA from 1 species
ACGAAAAAUGAAUACCAAGUCUCAAGAGUGAACACGUAAUUCAUUACGAAGUUUAAUUCAUUGAGCAUCAAACUUUUAAAUUGAAGAGUUUGAUCAUGGCUCAGAUUGAACGCUGGCGGCAGGCCUAACACAUGCAAGUCGAACGGUAACAGGAAGCAGCUUGCUGCUUUGCUGACGAGUGGCGGACGGGUGAGUAAUGUCUGGGAAACUGCCUGAUGGAGGGGGAUAACUACUGGAAACGGUGGCUAAUACCGCAUAACGUCGCAAGACCAAAGAGGGGGACCUUCGGGCCUCUUGCCAUCAGAUGUGCCCAGAUGGGAUUAGCUUGUUGGUGAGGUAACGGCUCACCAAGGCGACGAUCCCUAGCUGGUCUGAGAGGAUGACCAGCCACACUGGAACUGAGACACGGUCCAGACUCCUACGGGAGGCAGCAGUGGGGAAUAUUGCACAAUGGGCGCAAGCCUGAUGCAGCCAUGCCGCGUGUAUGAAGAAGGCCUUCGGGUUGUAAAGUACUUUCAGCGGGGAGGAAGGUGUUGUGGUUAAUAACCGCAGCAAUUGACGUUACCCGCAGAAGAAGCACCGGCUAACUCCGUGCCAGCAGCCGCGGUAAUACGGAGGGUGCAAGCGUUAAUCGGAAUUACUGGGCGUAAAGCGCACGCAGGCGGUCUGUCAAGUCGGAUGUGAAAUCCCCGGGCUCAACCUGGGAACUGCAUUCGAAACUGGCAGGCUUGAGUCUUGUAGAGGGGGGUAGAAUUCCAGGUGUAGCGGUGAAAUGCGUAGAGAUCUGGAGGAAUACCGGUGGCGAAGGCGGCCCCCUGGACAAAGACUGACGCUCAGGUGCGAAAGCGUGGGGAGCAAACAGGAUUAGAUACCCUGGUAGUCCACGCCGUAAACGAUGUCUACUUGGAGGUUGUGCCCUUGAGGCGUGGCUUCCGGAGCUAACGCGUUAAGUAGACCGCCUGGGGAGUACGGCCGCAAGGUUAAAACUCAAAUGAAUUGACGGGGGCCCGCACAAGCGGUGGAGCAUGUGGUUUAAUUCGAUGCAACGCGAAGAACCUUACCUGGUCUUGACAUCCACGGAAGUUUUCAGAGAUGAGAAUGUGCCUUCGGGAACCGUGAGACAGGUGCUGCAUGGCUGUCGUCAGCUCGUGUUGUGAAAUGUUGGGUUAAGUCCCGCAACGAGCGCAACCCUUAUCCUUUGUUGCCAGCGGUCCGGCCGGGAACUCAAAGGAGACUGCCAGUGAUAAACUGGAGGAAGGUGGGGAUGACGUCAAGUCAUCAUGGCCCUUACGACCAGGGCUACACACGUGCUACAAUGGCGCAUACAAAGAGAAGCGACCUCGCGAGAGCAAGCGGACCUCAUAAAGUGCGUCGUAGUCCGGAUUGGAGUCUGCAACUCGACUCCAUGAAGUCGGAAUCGCUAGUAAUCGUGGAUCAGAAUGCCACGGUGAAUACGUUCCCGGGCCUUGUACACACCGCCCGUCACACCAUGGGAGUGGGUUGCAAAAGAAGUAGGUAGCUUAACCUUCGGGAGGGCGCUUACCACUUUGUGAUUCAUGACUGGGGUGAAGUCGUAACAAGGUAACCGUAGGGGAACCUGCGGUUGGAUCACCUCCUUACCUUAAAGAANNNNNNNNNNNNNNNNNNNNAGUGCUCACACAGAUUGUCUGAUGAAAA